UACAGUAGCCAGAGUUUCAGACCGUGUCGUCGUCGGCGGAUGGCCGGCCAAUAUGGCGGCGGCAGUGUUGCGGAAGGCAUGGAGCAGGUUGCGGCUGUCAGCGCGCGACCCGCCGCCAUCAGACACCGGACGCCGUCUUCCUCACGGCGGCCAGGCCCGAGCAGUCCCCUAUCCCCGCUCUACGACCGCGCUAGCUCGAGCGCGCGCCGCUUCUGCGGCUUCCCGGCCUCCACCGCCCCCUUACCGUCCCGGUACACCAAGUUCGGACACAUCGACUCGCCGCCAUCCUCCACGCCGUUGCCUUAGCCCUCUGUCUUCCGCCUCUUCGUCUCCGAGACGAGGCUUCCAAGGAGGUGAUGAACCGAUUAUUAUCUUGCUACAGAUGUGCUUGGUAGCAGAGGAAAUAAUAAGCACAUACGGUUUUUCUAUAAAGAAUAUCUUGAAAUCAAGUGCAACUGGUUGUGCCAUUGCUGGCAUAUCCUAGUUGUGGUCAGUAACAAACACAAGCCAUGGAAGGAGCCCCAGUUGGUUUCCAGUGACGCAUACCUUGGAUCCCCAGACAUUUCUGAAGUCGGACAGCUUGGCCUGAAACUCCCUGGACAGGCGUGCCACUGUGAGAUCUGGGUCCGAGCUAGGCCUCCCUGUUCAGACAGCUCCGGUGCCUCUGAUCAGUUCUCCGGAGUUCAACCUUGACUCUCACGCAAACGUGGCAGUCUUGUCGCUCGACGAGUCUCACCUCAAGGCACUGUCUACGCUGGUCUGCUUCCGUGCCUUGGAACCGUUUGCGGCAGGCACUGGGCAUUGUUCUGGAAUGUAGCGGCGGCUGGUUGGGGCAGUCAGGAUAGAGGUUAGGCAGGAGUGGCGCAAGGGGAAGCCCGUGCUGGUUCACCAUUGCUGGACGGACGUCGGCAGGGGGGGAGCUACGACUGAAGGUGAAGGUGGAGGCCGACCCCUGGUACAUCUUUCAGUUGGAGGAUGAGAUUUCGCUGAACCCGCAGGUGGGGUGCAGCUCGAUCCAUAUGGCAGAGCCAUGUAUGGCGCCCAUCUUGAGGCGCAGGAUCAUUUGGGCAGGCAGUAGUGGUCGACCUCUGGCAGCGGCGAGGAGGGAGAGGAAGGUGGCGAGGAGAAGGAACCGGAGAAAUUCGUUGGUUUGCUGCUUGCGGGUGAUGAGAAAUUUAGUUGAGAACUAGACGCAUUUGCAUUUGUGCUGAGGGCUUGCGGGUGAUGAGAAAAAAGUUGACAACACGCAUGCAUGCAGAUGCAGGCUCGACGACGAUUCAACAGCGGCCCCACAAGUCAGCAUCAUGCCUCUUUGUGCAAUUUCCUGGCGGCACGUUGACAACUGUAGACACUGGGUGGCCCACGCGUCAGUGAGUUGGAUGACUGUGGAUGAUAGGAAGGUGGUGUGGCCCCACAAGUCCGCGACAGACAGAGACAGGCCUGCGCUCCCUCAAAGCCUCCCCUUGGCGCCUAAACGGCUAAAGGAAACCGUUGCAACAAACUCUUCAUCGUCCUCCUUCCUCACAACGCCAAGAAACCAAGAAGCCGAGAGAAGAACCGAGCCACCGUCCUCCGGCGAAGCCUCGAGUUCCAAAUGCAGCAGCAGGCCACGAAGUUGAAGCUUUUCGCGGGUGUGGACUUCGUGCGCGCCGCCGAGGACGGGCGGUCCGUCUGCCUCGACCCCCGCCGCGCGUCGCGCUUCUGCCCCACCACGGCCACUAUGUGCAUCCUCUUCCGCGGCGCCUACGGCCGCUACCUCGGGGCCCCCGACGCCACCGCGUGCGGCGACUUCGAUGAGCCGGAGAUCAUGGCCGUCCUGUGGCGGGCCGUCGCGACGAGCCGACUGGGCGUCUUCUGGCUUUGCGACACGUCCGGGCGGUACCUCCGCGCCAACCCGAGGUGCCUCCUGCCGUGCCACCCCAGAGUCUCCGUCUCCGCCUCCGCCUCCGCUUGUCGCGGCCUCGACAAGGCCAUCCAGUUGGUGGUGGAGGCCGUCCCCAGGGCAGGCAGGCCGGAAAUCCCGACACUGCGUGAUGUGAGUUCGUCCUCCCCUGCCUUGAGUCUGAGUUCUUUCUGGAGCAUGUGAUUCUUGAGUCUGAGUUCUCUCUGGCGCAAUUCUUCUGCUGAAUGAAUUCCUGAGAUUGCUCGUGUUGAAGAAUCAAUCAGUCACACUAGUAUCAUCCUUGCAGUAAAACCUACUGAAUUCGAUUCCCAGUUGACAAUAGUGUAUUGCUUGACUUUGCAGUUGUUGUGGUUCUCGGAGCGGCACAUCCGGUGGAUACGCGCUGAGGAAUCACGCCUCUUCACCCAAGACAACUGGGCCUCAACACUGUACACUGCGAGGUCGGUAGGCAUGGGCAGCCGCGCCGGUAGGCAUGAUGAUGAGGUCUAAGACCCCGUGUGUGGCCCGAUCUCGCGGAUUGACUUCGAAACCAAGGGGGAAGAUGGGAAAACGCGAGGAACACGAAGAACGCGACGAACACGAGGAACUCCGAGACUCACGCACACACACAACCCGAUACACCCGAUGCUUACCUCCGUGGCUCGAUGGACCACGCCAAUAGAAUCUCCGAGGAAGAGACACGCGGUAGAAUUCCCCGGGGAGAGAUUGGAGUUGGAGAGGAAGAACUUGGUGAGGGAGAGAGAGUAGCUUGUACUAGAAUCUCACUCAACAAGUUCAAAGUCAACAACUAAGGUGCCUUGAUUACAGAGGGAUGAUACCCAAGGGAGACUAAGCUCAAAGGUAGGUUUGAGUUCAAAACAAGUCUAAAGAGCUAAAGGGGCGUCCUGGGGGUAUUUAUAGUCUUACAAGGCGUCAUGGGCCGAAAAGGUACAAGUGAAACGGUUC